GGCGUGAGGACACGUCCUCUCCGGCUGUGAGGGAUGUGUCCCUCCCUAGCAGGGAGGGGGCGCGGGGCUUUUCGUGCGGGGGAUUCCGCGGAACGGAUGGGCUUCCUCUUUUUAUUUUUUUAAUUUCUUUUUUUGGCAUGGAAGCUGGUCCCCGCCUCCGGCACGCAGCGCCGUUUGUCAGCCGGGAGCGGGGCGGGGGGUGGGAGAAGCGCCCCAGGAGCUGCUGCUGGAUGGGUGGAGAGAAGGGGAUGUUAAAAUUCAGGAUCUCCGGUGAAAAUGCCGCCAGCCCUUAAGCAUUUCUCCAUCCUUUUUUACAAAACUCUCCUCUGGGCUUUCAGUCUGUGGCUGGCGCCUGUAAGGCUUUCACCUUUUAGCUUUGCUCACACAUAAUAACAGUUUUAAACUAAAAGCCACUUUCCAGCCGACAUCGAAUAUCAGAUGCAUCACGGUAAAAUGUAGCUCUGCAAGUUAUGGAUGCUUGAACUCGACUCCCAUUUUCUUAGUAUGCUUCAAUGGUUAUUUAAAUGAGAAAAACGUUAUGAAGCCCAGUAGACAUAACACGCUGCAGAAUUCAGCAAUGUUGAGUAUUGCAACCAAAAGUAUAUUUCUUCUUUAAGAAUAUAUACCCUAGAAAAAUCUGCACAGACAGAUAGCAGAGUUUAAGGCAUUGCAGUGCAUAAAAAUCAGGCAUCUCAUUUUGGUUUGUUGUUCCAUACAGACUGCUUCAUGAGCCUUGGGGCACUGAAGUGUUUUAGUUUGGAUCAGAGAUGCACUUUUGAAGUAAAUGCUGUCAUCAUCUCUGCUAACAGUGCUGUAAUUCAGAGUGUGGAGUGGUGUUGGAGUGCAUGAAAUAGAUCCCCUUUGUACAAAGCUGAACUAAUGCGUUCCAGCCACAGAUGAGCACUGGGUAGGACUCGAACUGAACUAGUCAAACUCCAGGAGCCCUUGAGGUGAGUACAGCUUGGAGAUCAGGCCCUCAGCACCAGUGCCUGCACUCAAAAUGCAAGGUCUGCUAGAGCUUGGUGCUUGCCACUGAAGCUGGAGAUUUGGAGCUUUGUAGUUCACAAGGAAGGUCCCGGGGGAUUUCUAGUGUAACAUCUGAAAGUAACAUCUGAUUCCUGGUUCACAGCUGGCAGUCAACCAAUACCUAAAAUCUUUGAUGCUUAAAAGUCUGCCAGAACUCCCAGUUCGUGUAUGGAUCAUCCCAUAUUCUUGUGUCAGGAGUACAUCACAUCAUCCACAUCCAUAAGGAUAACUUGAACUGAAGUAAAAACUGUGCUACCACUGCUGCUGAUCCAGAUAUUGUCAAUGGCUUUUGUGGUCCUUAUUAAUCUCCCUACACCUGCAACAGAUUCCAGGAUAGAAGGCAGUGGUGCUGCAAGUUUAAAAUUAAGAUGAAUUACUGCGUAGUGGUUUAAUGAUUCAAAAUAACUGAAUGAACUUCCAAUAACAUAUGUUAGCAAUGAAAACAUUUUUUUUUUCUAUCAGCGUGUCUUGUCAUUUUAAUAUGAGGCCAGAUUGUAAGAAAUGUAGCACACAUAAAGUUUUUGUAAGAAAGCACAGAGGGAACCACCAUGGUAGCAAAAUCAGAGCUGAUUUUUUUCUUAUGACAUACAAAAAAUAAAGUUGUUUUUCUUACAGUGCUUCCACAGGCAACAAGUUUCGUGCACUAACAUGACGUAGUGACUCCUUUUACUGAGAUCUGUCUACUUUUUGAAGAACAACUUCCUGUUAAAAAAAGGGGAAACACCCACAUUUCCUAAGAGCCACCUGAGUGUUUUCUCCAGGAACUCCUAGAGGGAUUGUGGAGUGAUGAAGGCCGGAGGCAAACACCUGAAGGCAGCAGCCAGGUUGUCUUGACUUCCCUUCUUGGUCCCAGACGCUCCCUGGCUCAGUGCCAGGCUGGCCCUCCAGUGCAGAUCAGGGCAGUCUGAUCUGUUCUGCUGGAAAUGGUGACAGUGCCGAGUCCUACCCGUGUCCCACUUCUCUGGAGCACCUGUGAGUCACCGCUGCAGCUGGGUGCAAAGGCAGCUCCUGCUCUGGUGGCCAGCCAAUGUCAUACAGCCUGGAAGGAGAGACCUGCCUACCCACUGCAUCCCUAUUUUCACUGAUAAUAAGAGCCAAGUAGGAAUAAGUUUGAUGUAAACAUAAAUGGAAGUGAGAGACAAGAGGGCAUUGAGUAAUGAGCAUUAGUUUAGUGAGGUAUGAAUAUAUAUAAAUGGGCCAAGAUACUAUCCUGGCAUUAGAAGAGCCUUUAAAAGGGCAAAAAUCAAUGGGGUUUUUUUUCAUAGCUGAAAAGUGCAAAAAUUGGCACAUGAAUAGCAGCAGAAUAUUCAUUUCUUCUUUCUUGCAAUGACAUUUCAUUACACACAGAAGAAAGAAAAACUAUGAAAUAGUCAAUAGAUAUUGUUUCUUUCCUAAGGUCUUAUGAGAAAACAGUGUAACAAAAGGGAGUGAUGCUGGUUUUAUUAUUGUUCUCAACAAACUGGCUGUUGCUUUCCUGGGAACCAAGCUCUCAGCUGAGCAAUCAGUACUUUUAAAAUAACUUUAUGGUGAAUUUCCUGUACAGUGUUGCACUUUAAAUACAUGCAAUAGUCACAAUUCUCAGGUGGCAGAGUCUGCAUUGACAUCCUUUUACAAAACUUUUCCUAAAAUGUAUAUUUUAAAAUGUGUAAUUUGCAAGUAUUGCUCUUGAUCAUUUCAUUUUGAAGAUUAGGCUCAUGAUCAAAGAGCUAUGGCUUUAUUCCUUCCUGUACAAUAAUUUCUGUGCAAGGACUAUAAAUAAAUUCUUUCUUCCUUCAUUUGGUGGGCAAUGCAAUCAAAAUGGCAAGUGGUUCACUCCACAAGAUUUCCCUGGUGUGGGUGGGGUGUGUGUGCUGGUAGGGAUGAGGGUUUUCUGCACAUCCCUGAGACAGAAAUACAGGCAGCUCUACCCAGCACUUCUAAGCUAGAUGAAGUCCUUCCAAGAGCAGGGAAGUAACAGAAGAAAUAGUACUUGGUCUUUAAGAAAUAGUCUUACUGUCUUCUUCAACAAGACUUGUUUAGGCUAUGAAAAGUCCCAGUGAUCUAGAGCUCACCUAUCCUCUGCCUCUGAGUUUAAAAAUAGGUUUUGUGUGCUGCUUAACCACCUGCUGUAUUCUCCCCCUAUGCAUUAGCGCUGCCCUUUCUGCUGGCUUCCUAAACAUACGUGGGUAGAUCGCAAGAUACACAUUCUGCUUUUACAGAGGCAGGACUCAGCCUAAUUAUAACCUGCAAGAUCAGAAUGUGACUGUUUUGACUUGCCGAAGCAAAGAUGAAUAACUGAGUUGUUGGCAUUUAAUUUUAGAUAUUCUGAACUCAGUCCUCUUUUUACUGUAAUUUAUUGUACUUAUGACAGUGCUAAUACCUGAAGAAAAUUACCUACAUGUGCAAGUGAUCAUUUGCAUUGUAUUUUCCAAUGAAGUAAAUUGACUUUUAGUGAAGUAAAAACACUUUUGUUGUUCUUUUGUAAAUCUAAAAUCAGUGUGUUUUUGUUAUUUCUCUCUGACAAGAAAAUAGUAGACAGAAUAAAGUUAAAAAAUAUUUUUACCAGACUACAGUAAUUUAGACAAUUGGACAUUUCAAGAGCUGUACAUCUUGAUUUCAAUAAUAAUGACCAGUUGUGGUUAAUGGAUUUAAUUCAUGCUAAUAUGUCUUCCUGUGUGUAAUAGCCACCUUCAGUGUGUACAUAGGUAGCUUUGCCCAUGCCUAUUUCCACCUUGAGCAUAAUUUAUAGUUCUGUGUCAGCAUUUGGUUGGAACAAGGCAAGGGUAAGAUGACAUGAUUGCAGGGUGGCUUUCUGCUGGGCUAGUCUGUGUGUGAAGCUCUUGAGGGCAAUUCCUGGGUGUCUAGACCCUUCAAUCCUGCAGUCCUCACCUUCAUCUGAGAACAAUGGUACAUAGAUCAUUACAGACUAGCACAUCUCUUUGUUUUCCACCUAUUUUUCCCCCAUGGAGCUCUGCUGUCCCUAGAAAUGAUGUCAGAAUGAGUGUCCCUAUGGUGUCCCUAGCAAUGACAACUGAUUAGAUAGGAUAACUCACAUAUUUUUGUAGUGAUUAUUUUCUUAAAAUCAGUCCGAUUUUCAAAACAUUUGCAUCUUUACAUAAACAGUUUCCCAAAGCACAUCCCUUUCAUUAUAUUUAAAUACUAUACUUUCCUUCUCUGUCUGACUUCUUCUUACUCCUUUCUCUCUUGAUUGCAUUUAAACUAUGAAGUUACUAUUGUUCUCAACCAUACCAGCAGUAUCCCUCAUGUGGGGGCUCUUUUGACCUAACUUUUAAGAGACAAUGUUUCCAUAUAAAAGAAGAAUCACCCUUCCUUCUAUAAAAAAUAUAAUUUGUUAAUUGUCUUUCUAAGCCAAGCCUCAUGGAGAGUCCAUGCUUCUACAUUUAGUGUCUGUAUACACAAUCGAAAAACUUCAUGUAAUAUAUGAAAUACUGCACCUAGGUUGAUGUGCCACUAAAUGUAAUCUCCAAUUAAAUCAAAAAUAUAACUCUGUUUAAAUGUAUUUUUAUUAAGGGGAAAGAUGUGUAUGUGUUUUUGUAGCCUGACGUACAAAAGGUUAUGUUCUCAAAUCUGAAUUUAAACAUAGCAGAGAAAAAGGGGUUGGACAACUGUAUCAAUGCAAUCGAGAUGUUUCAAUUUUUAUUUAUUGUAACAUGUAUUAUCAUCACAAUUUUUCUUAGAGUCUUACUCUUAGAGAGAAUUCUUAUGUAGAUGGAUCAGGUUUCAUAGAAGCACAAAAUAAUAGAAUCAUCCUUGCUUCCCCCCCACUUUAUAAUUCAAGGGUUCAUAGUGAGAGACCAUCGGGAAAGGAUGAAGUCGUUCACACGGAUGAUAGACAGUUGGCUAAAUUUGUAGCAUCAUGGCAGAGGUGAACCUCAAACAGAGGCUUUUGAGGAAAACACUGAAGUUGCUUUCCUGAUGUUUAUGAGAACUCAGCAAGAACACAUAAGAACACACAGGAGAUAACAUGGAUGUGCAUUCCUGAGUUUUUAACAAGCACAUAAUACCUACCAACCUGGGUAGGGUGGAUGUGAGAGCUUGGGAGAGGAUGUAGUGGGGACAAACUGUAAAUGGACUUAAUUUUUACAUGAAGAGUGUAUCCUGGUGCUGUAAAGAUGGAGGGAACAAAGAGAGGGUUGUAGGAAUGGAAGAUUUAGAAUUUGCCAUUUCCCAUAGUGAUGAUGAAUUAUUAAGGUAAUUGGUGGCAAGGGUAAGAAAACAGAUGUUGCAGCAAUAAAUGUUGGCAUAAUGAAAAUUUGCAUGAGAUUUAAGUAGGCAUAUAAAUGCAAAAACCCUUCUAUUGGAAAUGUUAGAGAAAAGUCUUGUUAGGAUUUCAGCAUAAUUUGGCUAUGAAAAAAAGAUGGAGGUGGAAAGUACAGAUAAGUGGCAGGCUAGAUAUGAUUUGUCAUGGUGACUGCAAAGGAGAUGCAACUGAAACUGCUGUUUUAAACACAUCAUUCUUGGGGUCAUGUCCCUGGAGAACAAACCUGAGCCAAAUUUUCUGAGGUUUUCCUUUGAAUAAAACCAGUCAGAUCUGCAGUGAAGCGAUGAAUAUUCAAAAUAAUAACUAAAUCAUCAUAGGGUCACAUUGUUAUAAAUACUGGAGGUGGGUCUUGAAAGAACACCAAGUAACAUGAAGUGGUAAUGGAUAGAUGCACAGAGAGAAAACAACAAAAAAAAAAAGAAAAAUCAUGGAGACUUAAGGAGGAAAAGGUUUCAGUAAUGGGUUAUUAUUUUUCAACUUAAGUUCAGUUCAAAACUGGUAACAGUUAAAGGUAAAAGCAGAUUGUGUUGUGUCUAAGGGGAGAAACCUAGUUUACAGAAGUUCUGGAAUAAAACUGGAGAAGAGGUAAAUUUAAUGAGCUUGGAGAUGGGAAUGAGGAGCAGAACAGUUUGUAGCUGGUGAGAAAAGGGGAUCAGAAAAAGAAUGUUUUUUGUGGGAGCAUGAGAACUGAAGGAGGAGUGAACAACAGUUUGCUCAGGAUGGAAGAACCGAGGCAAACGGAGGAGUUGGAAAAGAGAAAUUUUUAACAUGUGACAUGGAAGAAGGAAAGGAGUUACAGAAAGGGAAGUGAUGGAAAGCACAUGUCUUCAUGUAGAGGACAUUGGUGAGAUCCCAAUGUAGAGAGUGAAGGAGAUGCAGAGUAGAGAGGAGCGGAGUAAAAGGGAGGAUGAUUCAGUGUAGCUAAAAUCCUGCUUGAGAUGACAGAUGUUCCCCAACUGGAGAAUGGAGAAUUACCUAACUAGGAAACAGGAAGAAAUAUAGAAGGAUUAAAAAAGCUUGCAGGGGUGAAAAGGGGUGAAGUGAAGGAUGUAGAAAAUUAACAACAAUCCUUGGGAUCAAAAAGAGAAAGGAGAAAAUGAAGAAAUGUGGGGAAAAUAGAAGGGAGACAAAUACUGAGAAUUACUGAUCAUGUGAAAAUUGUGGAAGGACUGACUGACAAGGCUUGAGGGAGAAGAUGACCUCAAGUAUGAGGGUGCAAGGUAUAUGAUCAUUGUUUAAAAGGGAGGAACACAGCAUCAGAGAUUCAAGAAUAUGGCUGAUGAAAAUCGGUGCAAGGCUGUAAACCUUGGUAUAGCCUGAACUGGAGGAGGAAUGAACACAGAAGGGAGAAUGGAACUGUUCAGCCAAGGGCUCAGGUGAAUUGGUAAGGAUUUAUGUGGGAUACAGUGAAAAUAAAAUAAUGCCUUGAGCUGAAAUAAAAGGACAAGGCUGAAGAUGGAGAGCAGACAGAAAGAAAAUAAUAGGGGGAAGUGAGUAGGGUCAUAUUUAAUGCUGCUAAUAAUGGAGAAAGAGUAAAAGGGAUGUAGCCUGGGAGGACUAUGGACAGGGAAAGAGCAAAAGUCCAGUGUGACUGCCAUGAAAUGUAUCUGGGAGGAUAGAAAUGAAUGGAAAAGAGAAACUUCUGAAAGAGAGGGAAGAUAAAAAAAGACUUGGUGAGGGUGAAAGGAACGACAUAUGAAAAAGUCAUGGAUGGCAGGGUUUUUUUACAGAGACAAAGAGAGUGGGAGGAAAGAAGGGUGUAGGUGUGAAAUUUGAAGCUGCAAAAGAAGACAGGUAGAAGCAGUAAGAAAGGAAGAUGUAGCAUAAAGACAAAAUUUUCAAACUUGGAUGGUAAAAAUAAUGUUCUUAAAUUCUCUUUAGCCAUCUUAGUAGAAGGUGGCUUUAAAGCAGAGUCCCUCAAAAUAUUUUUCUUUUUUCUUUCCAGACACCAUCUCCAAAUAGUUACUCAGAUGUGUGGGCUUUUCUCUGGAGAGAGCAGUGGGAAAUGAACUAUGGAUUCCUAGUCUGUCAUCCUCAGCGUGUUCAUUGGGUGGUGGUGAAAAGGCUGAUAGAAACUAUAUUUAAUAAAGUAUCAGGUCUGUUUGGAUGAUGCCUAAUACAGACUUCAGCCUGAAUGCCACCUAAAUGGCUGAGACCAGGUUUAUUUCAGCAGUCUGCACUGGAGGGCCCUGCUGCUUGAUGGUAGUGUUGGCUUCUGGCUUAGGGACUUUCCUGUUUAUGCAGCUCCUUCUGCUUUGUUUGAAAGUGGACUUUUUUUUUUCCUGGACGUGGGCCUUGCCAUGAUUCUGUCACCUGGAGCUUGGGUUUCUGCAGAGAACAGUCCAUAAGACCAUGCCCAGAGAUCACAAGGGAGUUUCCCCAGGUGAGCACAGAACACCCACUGGCUGAGUGAGUUCCUCCUAGUGCUCCUGGCAGGCAGCUUUGGCUCCUGUGAAAUUCAAAGUGUGUGUUUUUACAUGCAAAGCUUUGGGACGGGAUCCAUCUUGCUGGAAUACACCGCUCAGUGCCUGGAAUGGCUCAGCAGCCGGGGCUCUUUGGUGAGGGGCUUCUGCUCCCCCCUGUCCUGGGCAAAGCUCUGCUGCUCCCGUGUCCUGCAUGCUCACCAUGGUGCUCUCCACCAGCAUUUCUAUUUCAGUCAUAAUGCCCACAAAAAAGCCUUUUUGCAAGAGAAGAUUUCUCCUUCCUGUUUUUGAGGAGGGAUUUGGUUGUUAAGCCUGGGGAGCUGCAGCAGACUGUGGUUCUGAUUUGUUUUCUAGGAAUGACUAAGAGAGGAGGAGUUUGUAUGCUCUGACUAAAUUCUGAUGACUCUGUUAGCAACCACAUUUCUUUUAACUGUACAUGAGCAUGCUGAAAGUAUGUUUUUAAUCUUGCAAAACCCUCCUCAGUUUCUGAUGUCGCUUCUCACAUACAUUAUGUUAUUUUCCAUUUUUAGUUUCAAUCCUUCUGUGUUUGGCAUACAGGAUUUUCCAGAAAUAUUUUCAAAUGGAUUUUCUCAACUUAGUAAACCAAUUUCUUUCAUAUAUUUUCAUUGCUGGCUAAAGUCUGAAGAUUUCUUGUUUUGAAUAAAAUCCCUUGACCCGGGUUAAAACCAAUAUUUUGUUUUACUAUAUAAGCAUCUUAAAAGUGAAAUAUAUUAAAUCAGAAAAAUGAAGAACUAGUAUGGUGGAGAUUUUGUUUUCAAGUUAUAGCAAAGAAUGCAGAGAAAAAAAAUUCAGGUCUUGAUCAGAAUAAUGGGAUGUGGGAUUAUGACUUGGUUGGAAGCUGCAUCAGAAAAAAAGGUGGUGAUUUGAAUCCUCAGCUGCAAAAUGAGUGAAUUACACAGUAGCUGGUUUUAGAUCAGAAUGGUGGUUGUCCAAGAUUAGCUUCCCUGGUAUCAUUUUAACAGCAUCCAACCACGACAGUGAAUAGUUUCUUGUGUUUAGUCCCCAAUCAGGAAAAAAAUGUCUAAGAAAAAAAUCUGGUUGUACAGCCUGAUACUCACUGUUGAAAAUCUGAAAACAUAAGGCUGUAGUUCUCCAUUGUGGACCACUCCCUGUGAAACUAAUAUCUUUUUCUCCAAAACUAUGUUGGAACUAGUUAUCCUGUACUGCAGUGACAUCUACUGAAGGAAAGCAAAAAAAGUCUUGGAAAAGCAAUCUUUGCCUCUCUAAAACAUAACACAAACAUCAGGGAUUUAAUAUAUUAUUGAACACUGAGAGAGAGGGUUAAUAUUUUUCCUUUUGUCAAUUUCAGAGCUGUUUUUUAGGAAGCACCCAUUGCCACUAUGUUCCCGUUCCCAGAUUUUAAACACAUAACUAAUGUAUUCUGUGACAUGGUUUGUAUGCAUAUACUUAAUUCCUGAAAGAUUGUGGUUGAGUUUUAGUUCUUUCUCAAUUUGAGAAUGGUAGUAAAGGGACUUUUAUUUCUCACUGAAGGAGGGGAGAGAUUAGAAUUUAGGGGCCUGGCAAGCAUAAAUAUUGUUCAGACAGAGCUGGCUGCUGUGUGCCACAGCAGGUGGAAAGGACAAGAGAAUUGUCACUUCUGCUACUAAGGUGAAUUGCUUGUGUUUUUAUUACCUUUAGGUGAAGAAUAUUUGAAUAUGUGCUUUCUUUAUACUCUCCUCUUGUCAGCAAGCAGUAUUUUGUACUGGAAAUGAACCAAUGAAUUGCAGAAGAGUAAUGGAUUGCAUUAUGUACAGCUGCUUGUAGGGGAGAUCUGCCUCAUUUGCUGACAAAGCUUUGUGGUCUGUAGCUGCCUCAUCCAGAUACUUCCACCUCU